rnacentral:ncRNA from 1 species
AUUAAUUCCAUAGAAAUAGGUUAUACUUAGUUGUAUAUGAAAAGGGAAUCGUGUGAGAAUCACGAACUGUCGCGCAACUGUAAGUAACUCAUUAAUUUUUUAUCCAAGUGAUCCACUGUUAUUACUUAAGUAAUGGGAAGGACGAUAAAAAAUAGUUACAAGUCAGGAGACCUGCCUAAUUCUGUUUAUAGAC